rnacentral:lncRNA from 1 species
GGGUGUCCCAUCUUCCCACACACCCAAGGUGAAGGGUGGUUGAUUCUACAUCAAACCAAAAGGGAGAAAAAGUUGCAGUUCAAGUGUUGACACCACAGUUAGAGAUCAAUGUGUGACCAAAGGUUCAAAAGGUUGAGAUUCUACUUUGAGAAGGAGGAUCUAUAAUGAGAAAAAAAGUUUAAGAUUGAUCCUGAUGGAUACUUGUAG